GAUGAAGAACGCAGCGAAAUGCGAUAAGUAAUGUGAAUUGCAGAAUUCAGUGAAUCAUCGAAUCUUUGAACGCACCUUGCGCCCUUUGGACAUUCCGAAGGGCAUGCCUGUUUGAGUAUCAUGAACACCUCAACUCUCACGGCUUGUCCGUGAUGAGCUUGGCCUUUGGGGGUCUUGCCGGCCUGUGGUCUGCUCCUCUCAAAUGGAUCAGCUUGCCAGUGUUUGGUGGCAUCACAGGUGUGAUAACUAUCUGCGCUUGUGGUUUUCCAUCAGAUAACCUUCAGUGAUAUGGAGGUUCGCUGGAGCUCACAAAUGUCUCUCCUUAGUGAGGACAGCUCUUUGAACGUUUGAUCUCAAAUCAGGUAGGACUACCCGCUGAACUUAAGCAUAUCAAUAAGCGGAGGA
rnacentral:misc_RNA from 1 species